rnacentral:rRNA from 1 species
CCUACGGGAGGCAGCAGUGAGGAAUAUUGGUCAAUGGGCGGAAGCCUGAACCAGCCAAGUAGCGUGCAGGAUGACGGCCCUACGGGUUGUAAACUGCUUUUAUACGGGAAUAACGCGCCUUACGUGUAGGGCUUUGCAUGUACCGUAUGAAUAAGGACCGGCUAAUUCCGUGCCAGCAGCCGCGGUAAUACGGAAGGUCCGGCCGUUAUCCGGAUUUAUUGGGUUUAAAGGGAGCGUAGGCCGCAUUUCAAGCGUGCUGUGAAAUGUCCGGGCUCAACCCGGGCCUUGAAGCGCGAACUGGGGUGCUUGAGUCCGCGGAAAGCAGGCGGAAUUCGUGGUGUAGCGGUGAAAUGCUUAGAUAUGACGAAGAACCCCGAUUGCGAAGGCAGCUUGCUGCAGCGGAACUGACGCUGAUGCUCGAAAGCGAGGGUAUCGAACAGGAUUAGAUACCCCAGUAGUC